CUCUCUCUCUCUCUCUCUCUCUCUCUCUCUCUCUCUCUUUCUCUCCUCCAGUCAGCUCCCCCGUUGCCGCACCCCUCCCCAUUCGCUCUCUCUCUCCUCGGCUCCACCCCAGGCCACCGUCGCCGCCACCGAGCACGACCACCUCACCGGACCCAACCACCCCACCCCACGCCUCCCUCUCCCUCUCUUCCCUUUCUCUCUCCCCGAGGCAAGCCCAAACCGAGUCCCUCACUAGGUUCCCUGCCGUCGCGAGCCAAUUUGACGGCAGGGGUUGAGCCGCACCACCACCAGCAGCCCCCCACCUCGCCGACGACCAGCUUCCUCCCUUUCCCACAGCUGACACCCUCCAAUUUCCCUCUCCCUCGCACGCUCCAUCUCCCUCUCGGCAUUCUCUUCAUCAUGGCCCAGAUCUGCCGCUAGGCCCACCGUGAGCCACCGAGCACCGUCUCAACUCCUUCCUCCCUCGCAUUCUCUCUCUCACGGAUCCCCUGUGCACAGAUUGGUUGAUCUGCCACCGUGUGCACAGAUUGGUAAAAUCCUACCUUUAUAUAUUUAGAGUAGAUGGACGUGUAUAUGUAGCGUGGUGUUUAUUGCUUAGACAGAUUUAUAUUCAUGGAUAUGUAGUAUUUUGGUUAUGUUGUUGUGGAAGUCGGAGGAGAAACAGAUUGGUUGUGAUGUUGUUUUUGGAUUGUGAAGUGUUGGGUCUUGUGUUGUAGUUGUGAAGUUUUCUUUAUAUAAGGGCCAUUAUGUGACCGCAACUGAUCAUAAUACUUUGAUUGUGUUGUUGUGGAAGUCGAAGGAGAAACAGAUUGGUUGUGAUGUUGUUGUUGGAUUGUGAAGGUAAGUGAUUUGCAAUAUUUAAUCUUCUACAUACAUAUAUAAUCUUUUGCUUGAACAAGGUAAAUGAUUUGUAAUAUUUUUCACUAAUAUGUAUGAGUUGGAAUGUGUUGUGUGAAUGAAGCUUAUAAAGUUAGUGAUUGUGUUUGAAUUGUUAUAUAAUUGAUAUGGAUGGAAUUAUAUAUACUGAAUAUGGUUGUAGGUGAAGUACUUAUAAAAAAUAUAUAUAUAGUUGUAGGUGAACUGUGAUUAUACUCUAAUUAGAGACUUGAAAAUGCAUGAGUAAUUAACUAGCUAUAUAGCAUGUUAAUGUAAAUUUUUACUUUUUUAGGCGUACACUAACUAUACUUGGGUCCUUAAUGCAUGAUUCUUUUUUAUUUGUUUUAAAUAUUGAAGUUAAUAGCAUGGUUCUUGGAACUAUUUGAUUCUUUUUUGGAUGAAGUGGCUUUUCUUGCACAGGGCUGAGAGGAAAUCUCUAGUUUGUGUUGCUGAUAAUUAUACCUACCGACUUCAUAUUUUAGAUGUCCUGCCCCUGCGCAAACAGACCUUUUGCUCUCAAAUAUGCUGCUGAAGCUGCUUGCACGAUGCUUCGUGUAUACCAAGUAGUUGAACAUGAGAAGGUGCCAUUUCAUUUUUCUUAUAUUCUUUUUGGUUGAAUCUUUUGUCAAUGAAACUCAAGAAGUCUGAUUUUUUUUUUUUUUUCUUGGAACUAUGGUGCCAUUUCUUUUCUUGAAUAUGAUGACAAGAGAUGUCCUUUGGAACUCAAGUAUACCUUUGAGAUCAAAAGAGCAAUUAGAUGAGUUUUGCCAA